rnacentral:rRNA from 1 species
CGUCCAGGGGUAAACCUGCGAAACUCGAAUGAACGAACGGAGAGAUUCAUCGUCAUUCCGUCGGUGGGUCGCGGCGGUCGCGCCGAUGCGGCGGUGUGCGUGCGUUCGCGCGCGUCACCUCCGUCGCACGGUCGCCGCCUGCGCGCCUCCGCGGACGGCGUGCACUUCUCUCUUAGUAAGACAUCGCGACCCGUUCGACGUCGGCCUAAGCGCCGCCCGGGAGCCCCUCGGCACAUCGCUGCCGCGGGACCGCGGCGGACGCCGGCCGGCGGCCGGACGGUAUCGUAUGCGAAACGCGCACGCGCUUCGGCGCGUCCGGCCCGACGCAAGGCGUCGUCGUAUCCGGAGUCCUGCCCGAGUGCGGUCUCCGGUGCGGCGCGCCUGCAUCUGUCGCAGCCGUGCUGUCUCGGACCGUGCGCGUCUCCGUCUGCGAUGAUUGAGUUUCGGGCACUCGCAGGACCCGUCUUGAAACACGGACCAAGGAGUCUAGCAUGUGUGCGAGUCAUUGAGAUUUAUAAAACUGAAAGGCGCAACGAAAGUGAAGGCGCGCGCUCGCCGCGCGCUCGGGGAGGAUGGCGGUCGAUCUCGCGUCGGCCGCCCGCACUCCCGAGGCGUCUCGUUCGCAAUCCGUCGAUGCAGGCGCGCUCAGAGCACAAAUGCUGGGACCCGAAAGAUGGUGAACUAUGCCUGGUCAGGUCGAAGUCAGGGGAAACCCUGAUGGAGGACCGUAGCGAUUCUGACGUGCAAAUCGAUCGUCGGAACUGGGUAUAGGGGCGAAAGACUAAUCGAACCAUC